rnacentral:misc_RNA from 1 species
AACGGUCUAUACCUGCGGUACCUGCGGAGGGAUCAUUACUGAGUUAUCACAACUCCAAACCCAUGUGAACUAUACCACUGUUGCCUCGGCGGGGGGACGCCUACCCGGUACCUACCCUGUAGGCCAGCCUCGCCGGCGGAUUUUCAGACUCUUGUUUUUUUGUGGCACAUCUGAGUUUACAAACAAAUAAGUUAAAACUUUCAACAACGGAUCUCU